GACGAACGCUGGCGGCGUGCUUAACACAUGCAAGUCGAACGAUGAAGCUGGAGCUUGCUCUGGCGGAUUAGUGGCGAACGGGUGAGUAACACGUGAGAAAUCUGCCCUUGACUCUGGGAUAACUGCGGGAAACUGUAGCUAAUACCGGAUACUUUCCCUGGUCGGCAUCCACUGGGGUAGAAAGAAUUUCGGUCAAGGAUGAUCUCGCGGCCUAUGAGCUUGUUGGUGAGGUAAUGGCUCACCAAGGCGACGAGGGGUAGCCGGCCUGGGAGGGAUAUCGGAAAAACGGGGACUGAGAAACGGCCCAGAUGCCGAUGAGAGGCAGCAGUGUGAAGAAUUAGACGACGAGCUAAAGCAUGAUGCAGAAACGCCGCGUGAGGGAUGAAGGCUUUCGGGUCGUAAAAGUCUUUUGGCAGGUAAGAAGCGAAAGUGACGGUACCUGCAGAAAAAGCACCGGCUAACUACGUGCCAGCCGCCGCCGUAA
rnacentral:rRNA from 1 species